rnacentral:lncRNA from 1 species
GGCAGACAUGGUUAGCAUAUGGCAAGGACUCUCUGGAAAAGCCAAACUGUAGCACUUCCUUUCUGGGUUAAUGGGCUCCUCCAUCCAUGGGUGCCUUGUCUGUUACAACUUUCUUUUUUUCUAUAACGCUUUAAACUUUCUGGUCUUUUAUUAUACUUUCUAGGUGGAGGUCUCUAGUCGGAUGCUCAAUUCAGACCCCUUUUAAAUGUACUCUAUCGAGGGUGAUUACCCUACAUAAUCAACAUUUUAACAAGAACCUCUGGAGUCACUGUUAAUCACCUCAGUACUCCUUCAUGUCCAUGGCUCACUCUGCAACACAGAGAACCAGGCUUCAACCAGGAAUGCAUUCACCAGAUCUGCUUCCGAAGACACUGGGACAUUCCUCCAAGGCUUGAGUGCAGAAGUCUGUCUUCAGUCCACUCACUGGUCAGCCACAGCCAUCCACGGGUCCAUUCACAGAUGUAGUCGGGCGGGGUGGGGGGCAGCGGCAAUGGUCUUGAAUUUGCAGAGAUUCUCUUCACACUUGACGUUUGGUGGAGGGACAAGGCUGGGCAAUUAAAAUAUGGUUGGACCCACCUCCUCAGAGUAGAGGGAGAUUCUCUGCUGUCUUGUCAGCAAAAGAUGCACCAAUGUGCAGGGAAGGAAGAACACAGAGAUACAGAAUUCUAUCAAUCAGUGUUUUGAUGGGCCGGGAAGGAGAUGAAUUUAAUCUUCUCUUUAAUUGUUUGUCAUUGCAUACAAGCUGAAAGCUAAGGUGGCGCUCACAAAUCUGCCUUUCUCCCCAGCAACUGAAUUUUAAUAUCAAGGCAGUGAAGGUCAUUGCAGAAUUUGCCUUAUGUUUGUAUGAACUAAAUCUGGAGACAAUCUCAAAUAUUUACACUCAGUGCCAACUCCGUUCUUUAAAGGGUAGGAGGGAAAGGUGAAUGCCACGUGUAGGUCCUGUGGAUGCCCUCCAAUCCCACGCUCCUCUCUGGAGGAGGAGAGAGUGACAGGACACUGGAGAUGCUGCUAGGAGAGACUGAGCUCGCCAAUCACUUCCCUGCUGCAAGGAGGACUAGGGAUAUCUCUCCCACCAACUUACAACCCAGCCUCAAGGCUACUGACUCAAGACACAGAAACAAGAUCGGGUGUCAGGACAUACAAUACAAAUUCUGAAAGUAACAAAGUUACAUUGCCUUUCAUUGUCUGUUUCAUCUAAUUUUAGGUGAGCCAAUUUGAUUGCAACAUGUGGAUCUAAAUAGUAUGAGGACGAUUUUGUUAAUUAACCCUGUCAUGUUACACAAAU